CGACGCGGCGCGGCCGGCACAGGUACUUGUUAAAGUGGAAUUCCUUCUCCAACUCCAGCAGUUGCGUGUUGGUGUAAGCCGUGCGCAGCCUGCGCGCCCCGCUGCCGGCGGGCCCCGGCAGUCCCGGGCCAUCUGCAGGGAGAGCGGGCUGGGCGUCAGAGCGGGCCGGGUCCCCGGCCCAAGCUCAUUCAGCCGAAGUGAAGACCACCCCAUCCGCCAAAAACAACAUCAGCAGUACCCCCCCCGCGCGCUUCCCGCCUACCCGAGCCGUUCGCUCCCACUGCUUUCCCGUUCUUUCCCGGCCCCCUCUCGGCGGCAGCCUCGGCCCGGGUCAGGGCAAAGCAUUCAGAGAGCCGCCCACGGACCAUGCAGGGGUUAGGGAGCGGCUCCCUUUUGCCCCCAAAACCUCAGAGCCUCCCUCCUGAGUCCUUGGAGUAGACCCCUCAAUUCAGCACUUUCGAGCUCAACCCAGAGAGAGGGUUCAUUAAGAAAGAUUGUUCCUCGCCUCCUUUCCUCCCUUGCUUUCAAAUUCCCCUCUUUUAGAGUUGGGGGAGAUGGGGCCGAACCUUUUCCUUGCCCCCAGAUUCAACAAUCCAGUAACACCACUUUCAUUCCUCUACACAGAUAAAGGUGAAAACCUAAAUCAAAUCCUUUUCUUCUGGCAGAGAAAAAGCUCUUCCCCAACCAGCUUCCAGAAUCUGCUAUAGUGGAAAAAAAAAAAAAAAUGCUGGCAGCGGCCAGGCCUGAACCCCAGCAGUAUUUUCCGCUUCCUCUUCCCUGGAAUCAACGGGGAGAAUUGCAAAGGGAAAAAAAAUCAAGAUUUGGAGGAAUUACCCACAGAGAUGGAAGUCCGAGGGUGGCUGAUUGCUCUGUUCCCUUUGAUUUCUCCAAAAGAAGCAAAGAAGAGAGAAACUGGAUAACUGCUGGACUUUUCUACCAAGAGAUUCGAAAGUGCUUCCUGAAUGAGAACAUCUUUUCCCAGGGCAAAAAAGAAAGUCAACAGAGCAAUCAGAACAAUAUUAUUCUCUGGGUUGGAAACAGGGUACCUUGUUUACUGAAGUUUUCCAAGGCAAAAAAAAAAAAAAUCAUUGUUUUAAUGCAGACUCUUCAAACUGCAGAAAAAAUAAAUCUUCAAGCUGUCAUAGGAUUUUGUGUAUUUCUUCUAAAACUUCUGACUGCAUUUUUUUUUCUCCCUGUCUUCCCGCAUCUCUCACCAUCGCAUUUCAUAAAACCUCCAGAGUGACCCUGUCUUCUGACAUGUGAGUUUGGACUACUUAAAUCUCAUUCAGCCCAGCUGGUCAACUCCAAAGAAAACUAAAAAUAGGAAAAUAAAAUAAAAG
rnacentral:lncRNA from 1 species